rnacentral:tRNA from 1 species
AGUUAAAAAGCUAAAGAUAAGCCUAAUGUCUUGAAAACAUUAUGAAAGGAGUUUAAGUCUUCUAUUAACUU